GUGUUUGUAGUCUAAUGGUUAAGAUAAUUGCCUUCGAAGCAAUAAACCCGGGUUCGAUUCCCGGUAAAUGCA
rfam:Ipomoea nil DNA, scaffold: scaffold1734, cultivar: Tokyo-kokei standard.